UACGAAGGGUGCAAGCGUUAAUCGGAAUUACUGGGCGUAAAGGGUGCGUAGGUGGUUGUUUAAGUCUGUUGUGAAAGCCCUGGGCUCAACCUGGGAAUUGCAGUGGAUACUGGGUGACUAGAGUGUGGUAGAGGGUAGUGGAAUUCCCGGUGUAGCAGUGAAAUGCGUAGAGAUCGGGAGGAACAUCCAUGGCGAAGGCAGCUCCCUGGACCAACACUGACACUGAGGCACGAAAGCGUGGGGAGCAAACAGG
rnacentral:rRNA from 1 species